rnacentral:rRNA from 1 species
CCUACGGGUGGCAGCAGUGGGGAAUAUUGCACAAUGGGGGAAACCCUGAUGCAGCGACGCCGCGUGAAGGAAGAAGUAUCUCGGUAUGUAAACUUCUAUCAGCAGGGAAGAAAAUGACGGUACCUGACUAAGAAGCCCCGGCUAACUACGUGCCAGCAGCCGCGGUAAUACGUAGGGGGCAAGCGUUAUCCGGAUUUACUGGGUGUAAAGGGAGCGUAGACGGAAGAGCAAGUCUGAUGUGAAAGGCUGGGGCUUAACCCCAGGACUGCAUUGGAAACUGUUUUUCUAGAGUGCCGGAGAGGUAAGCGGAAUUCCUAGGGUAGCGGUGAAAUGCGUAGAUAUUAGGAGGAACACCAGUGGCGAAGGCGGCUUACUGGACGGUAACUGACGUUGAGGCUCGAAAGCGUGGGGAGCAAACAGGAUUAGAUACCCUUGUANUC